UGGGGGAUAUUGCACAAUGGGGGGAACCCUGAUGCAGCGACGCCGCGUGAGUGAAGAAGUAUCUCGGUAUGUAAAGCUCUAUCGGCAGGGAAGAAAAAAAUGACAGUACCUGACUAAGAAGCCCCGGCUAACUACGUGCCAGCAGCCGCGGUAAUACGUAGGGGGCAAGCGUUAUCCGGAUUUACUGGGUGUAAAGGGAGCGUAGGCGGCCAUGCAAGUCAGAAGUGAAAACCCGGGGCUCAACCCUGGGAGUGCUUUUGAAACUGUGCGGCUAGAGUGUCGGAGGGGUAAGUGGAAUUCCUAGUGUAGCGGUGAAAUGCGUAGAUAUUAGGAGGAACACCAGUGGCGAAGGCGGCUUACUGGACGAUGACUGACGCUGAGGCUCGAAAGCGUGGGGAGC
rnacentral:rRNA from 1 species